rnacentral:rRNA from 1 species
UUCGGCGGUCAUAGCGGCGGGGGUACACCUCUUCCCAUUCCGAACAGAGAAGUUAAGCCCGUCAGCGCCGAUGGUACUCGGAGGGCAACCUCCCGGGAGAGUAGGUAGCCGCCGAAU